rnacentral:rRNA from 1 species
GAUGAACGCUGGCGGCGUGCCUAAUACAUGCAAGUCGAGCGAACUGAUUAGAAGCUUGCUUCUAUGACGUUAGCGGCGGACGGGUGAGUAACACGUGGGCAACCUGCCUGUAAGACUGGGAUAACUUCGGGAAACCGAAGCUAAUACCGGAUAGAAUCUUCUCCUUCAUGGGAGAUGAUUGAAAGAUGGUUUCGGCUAUCACUUACAGAUGGGCCCGCGGUGCAUUAGCUAGUUGGUGAGGUAACGGCUCACCAAGGCAACGAUGCAUAGCCGACCUGAGAGGGUGAUCGGCCACACUGGGACUGAGACACGGCCCAGACUCCUACGGGAGGCAGCAGUAGGGAAUCUUCCGCAAUGGACGAAAGUCUGACGGAGCAACGCCGCGUGAGUGAUGAAGGCUUUCGGGUCGUAAAACUCUGUUGUUAGGGAAGAACAAGUACGAGAGUAACUGCUCGUACCUUGACGGUACCUAACCAGAAAGCCACGGCUAACUACGUGCCAGCCGCCGCAGUAA